UAUACGUUAGGAAAUGAUCUUAUUCCAUCCAUAAUGCCUGUUGCAUUUCCUUUGGUUUAUGGGCUGCAGAUUUGUCAUGGUUUUGGUUUUUGCUCAUUUGAUUUUCAAUAUUCCACAUCAAAACAUCAUGUACUGGAAGUGUUAAUGCUCUAACUCUACGUACCUAUCCCUAUACAUUGCGGAAGUCACGGGAUCUGGCCCUUCUGGGUGGGGCGGUCUCUUACUGCCUGGCAGUGGGUGCUGGAGGGUGCUUUCCUAGCCGUUCCAAGCUUUUUCAGGUUUGACUCGGUCUUGGGAACUCUCUCUCAUAUCUUAUUUGAUUUAUUAGUCUCAAUUUCAAUUAGAUUGUAUUAUAUUGUAUUAUUUUGCAUUCCGAUAUCAUAGUUAGUAAAAUAAGUUUACCUCCAUAGAUUGUUGUCGCUGUUUUUUUCCUUUUCCCACUUCCUUCCCAUUUUUUGGGCCCAGGCGGGGGGGGGGGGGGGGGGGAGUGCAGGGGCCUACUGCCCCCUGUCAUGGGCAUAAACUGAUCUAGUUAAUUCCAUGACAGGAUUUUUCACUUUUAUUUUUUUGUACUCUCUGGCUUUUCUUUCCUGCAGCAUUCCUGGGUCACUGCAGGCUGUGCUGGCAGACAUUUGCCUUGGAAGGCUGACAGUUUGCCUGAAACAUCCAUGUUACAAAUGGGAUGCUCACCUGAACCUCGGAGGACCAGCAGCUGUGCUACCUCAUCAGACUGCAGCAGAUAGCAAACAAGGAAGCGGGCAAAUUUGCCGUUCAUAUGGAUAGCUUUGGAAGGCAACCCAGCUCCUCCAGAAAGAGGUGAGUGUAAUUCAGAAGAUGGCAGUUUUCUUUAAAUCAAUGAUUAAAUCUAUUUGAUUUA
rnacentral:lncRNA from 1 species